GUAGAGAAGGCAGAAAUCAGAAUUCUGUGCUGCUUACGUAGCUUCAACUGAUGAGGCAGAAAAGAAAAAAACGAGCAAAAUGAGGACUCAAAAGUCUGCACGGCCCUGGUCCAUGAUUGAUCCAGCAUAUGCAAGGUGAAUUUUCAUAACGUAUAGCAGAGUAGCUGCCACAGCACUGAGAGCGGAAUAGAGACACAACACAGUGAGCAGAACAGGAAAAUGUUGGAAUUCUGGCUCAAUCAUGGUAGGCAAACUUCACCAAAGAACUUGGUCACUUAGCUGAGACUUCAGAAAGAAUAAGUGGUCAGAACUGUACUCUAUAGUAAAUAAUAUGCUCUAAGACCAAGAGAAAAUAAAAAAUACAUCAGCUGUAACAAAUAAUAAAUUAAACCUAAAAUGAUCAAGAAGAUCUGCUAUUAAUUAAGCUGCCUGCGAGAAGAAAAUUCAACACUAUUAAAUAGUUGAAGAAAGUAAUAGAAAAGGAAAGACUCCAUGAGAACACACCUAAGCACAGGGAGGAAAAUGGUUCAGGGUAUGAGUCUCAGGGAAGACGUUCAAUGCAAAUUCCUCACUCUAAGGUCACCGAAGGUACAGCAGUUAAUUCAGCUGUUAACCAUUUUAACCUGAGGGGUUGUUGAAACUAAAUCCUCUUUUAAAGGCUUUCUAAGAUUUACUGAUGAUUUCAAAAUAGCUUGAGAAUCAGAUUAACUGAAACAUUU
rnacentral:lncRNA from 1 species